rnacentral:rRNA from 1 species
AUACGGAGGAUCCAAGCGUUAUCCGGAAUCAUUGGGUUUAAAGGGUCCGUAGGCGGGUUUGUAAGUCAGUGGUGAAAGUUUUCGGCUCAACCGGAAAAUUGCCAUUGAUACUGCAAGUCUUGAAUCAUUAUGAAGUGGUUAGAAUGUGUAGUGUAGCGGUGAAAUGCAUAAAUAUUACACAGAAUACCGAUUGCGAAGGCAGAUCACUAAUAAUGUAUUGACGCUAAGGGACGAAAGCGUGGGUAGCGAACAGGAUUAGAAACCCGAGUAGUCC